GACGAACGCUGGCGGCGUGCCUAACACAUGCAAGUCGAGCGAAGUGACUUGGAGCGAAGUUUUCGGACUGAGCGAAGAGUCAUCUUAGCGGCGGACGGGUGAGUAACGCGUGAGAAACCUGCCUUUCACAAAGGGAUAGCCUCGGGAAACUGGGAUUAAUACCUUAUGACACUUUAACCUCGCAUGAGGAAUAAGUUAAAGCGUAGAGCGGUGAAAGAUGGUCUCGCGUCCUAUUAGCUAGUUGGUGAGGUAACGGCUCACCAAGGCUGCGAUAGGUAGCCGGCCUGAGAGGGUGAACGGCCACACUGGAACUGAGACACGGUCCAGACUCCUACGGGAGGCAGCAUG
rnacentral:rRNA from 1 species